rnacentral:lncRNA from 1 species
UGAAGCAUGGGAUCGAUCAACCAUCGUGGUAGAUGACGCACAAACAUAGAUCUGCGGGACUCGUCGUUGCAGGACAUCGUUGCCGACGUCGCGGGCCGAUCGUCGGUAGGCAGCCAUCGCUUCCGCCGCUGCAGUACGUACUGGCCGCUUCCGCAGAUCGAUCUUGUACCUGUAAUGGCAUAUCUGGUGGAAGUUGAAAUCACGGUUAGAUUGAAGAUCAUCACGUAAGUAAAUGCAUGGAUCAAAAGAAGAAAAAAAAUACCUCUUCCUCUCCCGCUUGUGUGCAGCUAGGCAUUCGUCGACGUGGUUUCAGAUCUAGUAUAGAGAAACGAAGGGAGAGAGAAACGUAUGGAGGCAUAGAGAUCUCAAAAGCAAUUGACCCAAAGUUAACUAGCGAACAACUUACAGACACAUGCAUGCGGUGAUCGAUUAAUUAGUACGUUUUUCGCCGGAGAGCGCAUCAAACGGCCGGAGGUCGCCGGAGAGCGCAUUAGACAGUCGCGCCGGCCGUUAGGAGUGGGGUAACUACACCUAAGAGUACCUUGUAAUUUCGCACGCACAC